rnacentral:rRNA from 1 species
UACGGAGGGUGCAAGCGUUGCUCGGAAUUAUUGGGCGUAAAGGGUAGGUAGGUGGUCUCAUUUGUCUGGGGUGAAAGCCUUGAGCUUAACUCAAGAAGUGCCCCAGAAACGGUGAGACUAGAGUCUUGGAGAGGGUCGUGGAAUUCCCGGUGUAGCGGUGAAAUGCGCAGAUACUGGAGGAAGACACCGGUGGCGAAAGGCGGGUCGCUGGGCCGAUACUGACUGAGGAGCGAAAGCGUGGGGAGCGAACAGGG